UGGGGGAUAUUGCACAAUGGAGGAAACUCUGAUGCAGCAACGCCGCGUGAGGGAAGAAGGUCUUCGGAUUGUAAACCUUAGUAGUCAGGGACGAAAGAAAUGACGGUACCUGAAGAGUAAGCUCCGGCUAACUACGUGCCAGCAGCCGCGGUAAUACGUAGGGAGCGAGCGUUGUCCGGAUUUACUGGGUGUAAAGGGUGCGUAGGCGGGACUGCAAGUCAGACGUGAAAUACCGGGGCUUAACCUCGGGGCUGCGUUUGAAACUGUGGUUCUUGAGUGAAGUAGAGGCAGGCGGAAUUCCUAGUGUAGCGGUGAAAUGCGUAGAUAUUAGGAGGAACACCAGUGGCGAAGGCGGCCUGCUGGGCUUUAACUGACGCUGAAGCACGAAAGCAUGGGGAGCAAACA
rnacentral:rRNA from 1 species